rnacentral:lncRNA from 1 species
UGGAUAAGAGUGAUCUUAGUUAUUACGCUGAAAGUCCACAUGUACAUAAUAUAGAAAAAAGUAUUCAAAAUUUCGGACGUGCAAAAGAAAUUAUGAUGAUGCUUGAAAAGAAUUUAGAUAUGUUUUAUCAUAAUGAAGACACACCUUUUAAUAAAAAACAUUGUUUCGAUGUGAAUUUUUGGUUAUAUAAUACGAUAAAUGAAAAUUUAACUAAACCAAAAAGCAAUAAGAAAUUAUUUAAAGUACUUGAUAAAUAUCAUAAAGAGUGGGAUGUAAUAAAUCAAUCUAAAGAAAUUGAUAAAGAAAUUAUAUGCGAACCAAAUAGAACUUUAAUAGAUAUAAAAUAUUUAAGGGAGGUUAAACAUUUAUUUGAUUAUUUUGAAAAUUUUGAUUAUGUCAAAGAUGAGGCAAAGAAGAACCCUGAUGAUGCUUGUAAAAUUUUUUAUAAGCCAUUAAAAAAAUUAAUUCCAAUAUUUUUUAGAUGGACAGAUAUAUGUCAACUAGAAGAACCAAAUAUAUGCAAUACACAUAUAUCGAAUCCUGGCAAUUAUACUCCAAGAGCAAUGUUAAAGCAUGUUAAUCUUAUUAGUCUUACCUUUUCAGCCUUGGUGAAUUCAUGCUUUAAACAAGUUAUUGAUUUAGUAAAACAAUCUGAACAGUUGAAACAUAAAACAUAUGUUAUAGUUAGAUAUAAAAAUGAAGCUAAAAUGUUAAAAUUAAUAAAAAAGAAGAGUAGAUCAUUAGCUGAAACAGAUGAUAUGUUAGGAAUACUACAUGGAGAUGAUAAUAGCUGUGGUUUAUUAAGUUAUAUAGUAUGGUUUUUUUACCAAACAUAUUUAUAUAUUAAUGAAAAUAUUAUUUUAGUAAGUGCCUUUAUGCUAGGAAUGUUAUUUGUUUUCGGUAUUUUUUACCAAGUAAAAAAUAUUUCUAAAAAAAAAAAAAAAAAUUAAACACCUUAUUUUAUUUUUGAAAACAUAUUAUCAUAAACAAUAUUAACGAAAAAGAAAAAAAAUAUAUGUAUAUAUAUACAUAUAUAAAUAUAUUUACAACUUUUUUUUUUUUUAUAUUUUUUUUUAUAUAUAUUUUUUUUUUUUUUUUUUUUUAAUUAU